CAUCAAUCAAGGUCGUUGAUGGAUCCGUCGCUGACAAACGGAGAGUACGCUUGUUUAGUCUGUGGCGAAGACCAAGCCGUAACGUUACAUCUGAAGAACUGGUUGCCUCCUGGGUAUAAAUAUCACUUCUGCACUCAUCGUUUAUGCACUACACAAGGCGAAUCACAAUUGGACCACACAAGUUUUGAAGCAUCACUAAGAAUUGCAUUGACAGAGGUUUGUGAUGUAAAGGAAUGGGUGAAAAGCUUAGCGAGUCAUCAGGAGUGAGUUGGAGAAUGGCAGUUACAAAACCAAAUAAGGGACAGCGUGUGCUUUAUAAGGUAAUGUCAAAUCAGUUCAUUCAGCUUUACACUACAUAAGUGUGGGACAAUUAGUUACACUGAAAAUGACUUUGCAGUAAAUUGUACUGUGCAAAAGGCACAUUU